UCUUUGGCAAAAAAUUCAAACUUUGAGUAUCAAUGAAUUUCUAAGGCAGAAGAAUUUAAUUCUCAUUUCUGUGGAACAAGUGAGAAGGUUGUGUAGAGAAGGACAAUGUCUUGGUAUAUCAAAUGCACGAUUCAUACCAAAAUCUGCUUCCUUGAGACCCAUUUUUAAUUUACAGAAGAAAUCUAAUAUG